AACGAACGCUGGCGGCAUGCCUAACACAUGCAAGUCGAACGAGAUCUUCGGGUCUAGUGGCGCACGGGUGCGUAACGCGUGGGAAUCUGCCCUUUGGUUCGGAAUAACAGUUGGAAACGACUGCUAAUACCGGAUGAUGACGAAAGUCCAAAGAUUUAUCGCCAGAGGAUGAGCCCGCGUAGGAUUAGCUAGUUGGUGUGGUAAAGGCGCACCAAGGCGACGAUCCUUAGCUGGUCUGAGAGGAUGAUCAGCCACACUGGGACUGAGACACGGCCCAGACUCCUGCGGGAGGCAGCAGUGGGGAAUAUUGGACAAUGGGCGAAAGUCUGAUCCAGCAAUGCCGCGUGAGUGAUGAAGGCCUUAGGGUUGUAAAGCUCUUUUACCCGGGAUGAUAAUGACAGUACCGGGAGAAUAAGCUCCGGCUAACUCCGUGCCAGCAGCCGCCGUAG
rnacentral:rRNA from 1 species